ensembl:lncRNA
CCACACGGGAAGGGCCCGAAGGCUCAUUUAUUGAAAGGCACGGAGCUGGGAAGGAGAGGGGCUGGGCGGGGGGGAGGCAGUGCCAUGGGGAGGAGAAGCUGCCCCACAGCAGAAGCCUGAGCCCUGCCCCACGGCAGAGUGACCCUCUGGUCCCCCCCUGCCUUGGGGUGGGGGGUGGGAGCCUGAGGUGUGGAGACGAAGGCUGCCCCUUGGGGUGUGCAUAGCUGGGGUAGGGGGUUGCCCCACUGAAUGUGCAUAGCAGGGGUUGGGGGGCUGCCCCACUGAGUGUGCAUAGCUAGGCUUCGGGGUCUACCCCACAGAAUGUGCAUAGCUGGGGUUGGGGGGCUGCCCCACAGACUGUGCGUAUCUAGGAAUGGGGGGGCUGCCCCACAGAGUGUGUGUAUCUGGGGUUGGGGGGCUGCCCCACGGGGUGUGCGUACCUAGGCAGGGGAGGGGGCUGCCCCACGGGGUGUGCGUAGCCGGGGCUGGGGCUGCCCCACAGCCGCAGCUCAGGGGGCAGGGACCCUCAGACAGCCUCCUGCGCCCGGCGGUACUCGAAGACGCUCCCACGCUCCGCAAAGCUCUGCGGCGCCAGCGGCCGAGCCGUCUCCUCGGGUUCCCCCCCAUCCCCAGGGGAGCCAAAGCCGCCCCCGCCGGGGGUCUGCAGGCGGAAUACAUCCUGCGGUGGGGAGAAGACGGGGCGUCGGGGGGUGCAGGGGUGCUGGGGGGGUGUGUGUGGGGGUCCCACGUGACACUCACCCCUGGCUCCACCGGCACUGAUGUCUUGGCGCCCAGGUUGAUGGUUCGGCCGUCGCGGCGCAGCAGCAGGUUGAGCCCCGGGGCGCCGGGGCUGCCCCCUAAGCGGCAAAGUGUGGGUCAGGGGGCAAUGGGGGGCCGCUGGGGGCCACGGCGGGGGGUCCCCGCUCACCUCGCAGGCCGUAGGGGCGGAUGGCACGGCGCUCGCUCAGCACCGACAGCACCAUGUCCUCACGGAAGAGCAGCUCCCGCACGACGCCGUCGCCACCGUGGCAGCGCCCUGAGCCCCCCGAGCCCCGCCGCAGCUCAAAGCGCUGCAGGACCACGGGGUACCUGGCAGGGGAGACGCACACGGGGUGAGUCCUGGCAGGGCCCCGGCAGCCCCCCCGUGCUCCCCCCCAGGCUCCAGCACCCACCGCUGCUCCAGGAUCUCGGGGUCAGUGAUGCGGGUGUUGGUCAUGUGCGUGUGGACCCCGCUGCGGCCGUGCCAGUGCGGGCCAGCCCCCGCGCCCCCGGCCACCGUCUCGUAGUAGCCCACCCGCUCGUUCCCGAAGGUGACGUUGUUCAUGCAGCCCUGAGGAUGGAGGGCAGGGGGCGGCGGGGGGCACACAGCCCCCACCAGGGAUCCGACCCUGGGGACCCCCAGCACCCCAGACCCCUGGCGACCCCGGCACCCAGCACCCUCAACUCCUGACCCCUGGGAUCUCCAGCAACCCCGGCCCCCGGGGCCCUUGACCCCCUAGGACACCCCACAUCCCAGACUCCUGGGACCCCUGACUCCCAGGACCCCCAGCACCCCAGAGCUCUGGCAUCCUGAGACCCCUGGCACCCCAUACCCCUAGGAUGUCUGACUCCUGGGACCCCCGACACCCAGCACUAGGACUCCCAGGAUGUCUGGCGCCCCAGGACCCCCAGCCUCCAGCACUUCCAACCCGUGGAACCCCUGACCCCCAGGAUCCCCAACAUUCCAGACCACUCAUAACCCUGACUCCCAGGACCCCAGACCCCUGGCAUCCCAGGACUCCCAAGACUCCUCAGGACCCCAGACCCCUCAGGACCCCCAAGCCACAGGACCCCUGGCACCCUUACAUGCCCAACUCCUCUGACCCCCAUCACCCCAGACCCCUGGGACCCCCAACCCCCAGGAAUCCCAGCAUCCCAGAGCCUUGGCAACCUGGGAGCCGUGGGAACCAACACCCCUGGGACCCCCGACCCCCAGCACCUAGGAUUCCCAGGACCUCUGGCACCCCAGGACCCCAAACCCAGGGACCUCUUACCUCCAGCACCCCCAACACCUGGGACCCCUGAACCCCAGGACCCCCAAAAUCCCAGACCUCUCAUAGCCCCGACUCCCAGGACCCCGACCCAUGGCACCCCAGGAACCCCAAGGCUCCCAAGACCCCAGACCCCCCAGGACCCCCAAACCACAAGACUCCUGGGACCCCCAGCACCCCGCAUCUCUGACUCCUGGGACCCCAGACCCCCUGGGACCCCCAUUCCCCAGGAGACCUGACACCCUGGGACCCCAGACCCCUGAGAUCACUUGCACACUGGACCCCUAGGACCCUCGGCACCUGGGACCCUCAGCACUCUGGGACCUGUCACCCUCGUCCCUACCUGUGAGGCAGCGCAGACGCCGAAGGCUUUAAAGAUGACAUCCACCACGCGCUGGGAGGUGAGGACGUUGCCCCCCACCACGGCAGCCUCGGGCGAGGGGUCCAGGAUGGAGCCCUUGGGGAUGACCACUCGCACGGGGGCCAGGCAGCCCUUGGUGUGGGGACACACAGGUGGCCCAUUGGUCCCAGCUGGCCCCCGCAUGGGUCCUGCCACACAUAUGCAGCACCCCGAGCCCCCCACC